UUACAAAAUCUAAUUAAUACCAAUCCAAAUAACCCCUAAAUUAGGGAUUUCUUCAAUUCCCCUCCCAUUGUCCGCCGGUUACACAAGCCAUUAUCAAAACAAUUAUUUACAACAUUCAAUCCCAUGCAUACCUGAUAAUCAAUUUAUUACUUUAUACGACCCCCUUAAAAUGAUCGACUACAUAAAUCUCGAGAUAGGUUGUCUGUUGUCACCUUCCCAAGUUUCUCCAUUUUUUUUCUUGAGCAUACUCUCUGAAGAAUACCAGGUGUAAUAUAUGCAAAUAAAUGCAAUCUAUCCACUACCCAGGGAAUCUCCGCCUUGGAAAAUAUUCUUGAAAUGCUAGAAGUACUAUUGAUCUAACCAAAGCUAUGCAUGUAUUUGUAUCACAUAGGACAAAUUUGUUGUUGAUGAUAGUGGCUUUGACAUCCGAAAAAAAUAGCAAAUUGGUUUAGAUGGUAAUGGAUUGGGCCUCUGAAUGGAUUUGCUUUGAAUGUGAGUCUCUCAUGGAUUAGGAUCCCAGUUGCCAAUUCCAAAUUUAGCUGCAGCUAAGAACAAUUUGAUAAAAUAGGUACAAGAAGUGUAGAGCAGAAGUGGCACAAUUCAUGAGAAGCAAUGAGCUGGGCUAAACCUUGCCCACUUUAUGAAAUUAUAAAGCCACCAGAUUUGGCAUGAUUUCAUUGGAAUCAAUCAUCCUUCUUCGUAUGAUUAACUCAACAAUCAGAUUUUGGAAGAAAAUAAUGUAGGAAAUGCAGUUGCCGCUCUAUGGCUAGCAUCAAAAGCAAAGGUAUCAUAUUGAAGUAUGCAAACCAUUUUCUUAUUUGCUCAAAUGUUUUGUUUUUUUUAUAAAUUUUAAAGUCUGGGAUUUCAUUUUUAAAUCCAAUGAAAGAAAUUUUGUUACUGAAAAAAAUAUUAAACAGGUUCCAUUGUUUGGUAACUUGGUAGUUGCAUUUGGUCCAUUUUAAUCCUAUCGUUCUAAUGGCCAAUAGCCAUAACUUUUGCAAACCUAUAUACACAUUUUCUGUUGACUCCAUAUCGAACACCAAUGACAAAUUUACAAAAAUUGUGUACUUCAGCAUAUUUUGUUCGUCACUCAUUAAUGUUACCGUAUUUUUCAUUUUUGUUUUGAGUAGUACCCGGUCUAAACUUAUAUUGCAGUGAUGCACGGUUACAUGUAUAUUGUUUUCUGCUACACAUUUUUAAACUUUUCUAGAAAACUAAUUUUAUGUCGGUGAAAUCAAUUCAGUUCAAUUUGUAUUCCUGAAAUUCACCUUGAUAGUGUGAUUGCUAGAUGGAAGGAGUUGUUAAAUUUGAACCUCCUUUAUUAAUUUGUUUUGUUUUCAGUUUAGCUGGGUUGUUUUUCCAGCUGAAUGUUUCUUGGGGUUUCCUUUGUAGCUUUGUUACAUAUCUUGGGAUGGGUCUGUAAAUGUUUGCAGGUUCUUGCUAAUUAAUAUAUUUUUCUUUAUCCGGCAAAAAAAAGAAAGAAAUUAAUUCAGUCCAGUUCUUUCAAACGAAGAUUACGCUUCUCUUAAUAGAUUGAAAUCUACUGUUAGACUCUUUCCAUGUUUCGUUGCAGUAGUUGGUGUGAGAUUCAAGAGCUAAAUAUCAGUAAUUGACAAACCUGAAGAAGGCAAAUGAUGAGAGUCAUCCAGGAUAUCCACUCUGAAAGCUUCAUUUGCAAUUGUAAGCCACAUUCGGGAUUCAACUGAAUUAGCGAGAGGUAGAAAACAGGGCGAGAUCAAAGUAUUCAAAUACAUGUUAAUUUUCGGUGCAUAUCAUUUUGGGUAGAGGAUUUGGGAAGAUAGCAUGUUAUGGAUUACUCUCAACAUUUGGAACUGAUUGGUUCAUUGUAUGCAUUUUUUUUUUAGAGAAUUUAGUCGUUGCAAAGGUGGCACAAAAAUACGAUACGCUAAAGAAAGACAUUCCGUAGGUCUGGGAUAUUUGAAUUUUAAGUGUUUGAUAAGUAGGUGACCUGUUAUGAUAAAGUCAUUGGAUGUACUUCACCAGUCUGUGUUCGGGUUCACUUCUCUCCUUGCUCGAUUGAAUUUCGGGUAGACGUAAUAUGUGAUCUACACAUCUCUCCCGCAAUAGAAAAAGAAUCAAGUGACUGCUGCAGAAAGACAUCAGAAGAAAGUUUGUAACUCAAGGUUCCAUGUAAAAUCACCAUUUAACUUAACUUUGAAGAUGCCGAUCAAAAAAAAAAAUCAAACUUAACUUUGAAGAUGCAUGCAUAAUAUCGUAAGCUCUUGAGACUUUGUCAGAGCGUUUGAUGUACUAUAAAACUUAUUUUGUCACCAACAGAAUUUUCUCUCAAGUCUUAUGCUGUAGAUUAGGCUAAA